AUGCAUGGCUGGUUCCUUAUGUUGGUCUGGGCCUGGUGUCUACCUCUGAUGCUUGCGGUCACGGCGGCUGAGGAGCAACAAGGGGGUGGCUGCCCGGCGAAGAGGUGCGGCAACAUAACUAUCUCCGACCCAUUCUGGCUCACUGACAGGGAGACGGGAAGAUCAUGUGAUUGGCCUGGUCCCCCAGACUUCGAGCUUACAUGCUUUAACAGCAGCUAUCCAGUUCUACAGAGCUCUGUGCCCUUCAGUCCCGGCUUUAAGAUCAUCAGUAUCUCCUAUGGAGAACGCCGCUUGCGCGCAGUUGAUCUGGGCAGGCUGGAACUAUUUCACGCCUCCGCCAGUUGUCUGCCAAUGUGGAACACCUCCGUCAAACUGGCCCGCCAGUUUAGGAUCGACCCAAUCAACCUGAACGUCAUCUUUUAUAAUUGCACGGAGGAGGCUGCGGCACGCCGGGACAGAGAGCUGGUGCAGACGACGGCAAUGAGGUGCUUGAAUGCGAGCAAUUCGUUUGUUCGUGCCGGAGUGUGUUACGAUGCCACCGGGAACUAUUCUCGCUAUGCCUUGGAGGGAUGUGAUGCUAUCAUCAUGCCGAUGCGGGGCUCGUCUCCGGGAGAGACGUUCACAAACGCGACCGACUACGAGCAGCUCAUCAACGAUGGCUUCCUCUUGAGAUGGGAUCCGCCGGUACCUCUCCCUGCACCUGUAUCUGCACGUAGUGACAGGAGAGGGAAGAAGAUUAUGCUAAUAGGUACUACAUCAGCAGCUGCAACCUUUCUCUUUGCAUGUCUUUAUGUGCUGAUAUGGCAUAGAAAAGGGAAAAGACUAUGGUUUCUCCUUUGCAAGAAGGGUAGCAGCAACACUGAGAAGAAUUACGAGGCCAUGAUAGUAUCAUAUGGAUCCCUAGCUCCAAAAAGAUACAUGCACUCAGAGUGGAAGAUAACUUCUUCUCGUAACGAUCAGCUUGGUAAAGGUGGUUAUGGUGUGGUUUUCAAAGGAAGACUACACGAUGGCCGUCUGGUUGCUGUGAAAUUCUUGCAUGACUGCAAAGGAAAUGGGGACGAAUUUGUGAAUGAAGUUAUGAGCAUUGGCAGGACCUCUCAUGUUAAUGUUGUUAGCUUAUUUGGAUUUUGUUUGGAGGGAUCAAAACGAGCUCUUAUAUAUGAGUACAUGCCCAAUGGUUCCUUGGAUAAGUACAUUUACUCAGAGAACCCCAAAGAAAUUUUAGGAUGGGAGAGGCUCUAUGCAAUAGCAAUUGGGAUUGCUCGUGGCCUCGAAUACUUGCACCAUAGCUGUGAUACACGUAUCAUCCAUUUCAAUAUCAAGCCCCAAAAUAUUCUUCUAGACAAGGAUUUCAGCCCAAAGAUUGCUGAUUUUGGUUUAGCUAAAUUGUGCCAUACAAAGGAGAGCAAGCUUUCAAUGACUGGAACUAGAGGAACAAUUGGAUUCAUCGCCCCAGAAGUUCACUCCCGAACCUUUGGAGUGGUUUCGACAAAGUCGUAUGUUUAUAGUUAUGGAAUGAUACUGCUGGAGAUAGUUGGAGGGAGGAGAAAUGUAAGAUCAAUUGUUGCAAAAUCCAGUGAAAAGUAUUUUCCUGAUUGGAUUUAUGACCACUUUGCGCAAGAUGAUGGAUUAGAAGCAUGUGAAGUCACCAAUGAAAUUGAGGAGAUAGCGAGAAAGAUGAUCUUAAUUGGCUUGUGGUGUAUACAAGUAAUACCCUUGCAUCGCCCUACUAUAACAAAAGUUCUAGAAAUGUUUGAGAGAAGCUUAGAUGAUUUGGAUAUGCCGCCAAAGCAGAACUUCUGUGAACUGCUAUAA
rnacentral:rRNA from 1 species